UACGGAGACUACGAGCGUUACUCGGAUUCACUGGGCGUAAAGGGUGCGCAGGUGGCCAUGUGUGUUAGGUGUGAAAUCUCGGGGCUCAACCCCGAAACUGCGCCUAAAACUACAUGGCUAGAGUUCUGGAGGGGUAAGCGGAAUUCCUGGUGUAGCAGUGAAAUGCGUAGAUAUCAGGAGGAACACCAAAGGCGAAGGCAGCUUACUGGACAGAUACUGACACUCAGGCACGAAAGCGUGGGGAGCAAAAAGG
rnacentral:rRNA from 1 species